CUUUUAAUCAAGAGUUCCUCCAGAAUGAACUCAGGAUUUGAGAUGGAUCCUUCCUGGCUCAUGUUUGAUAUUCUUGUCAGAAACCCUUCUUGCCCUGAUUGGAAACUCAACUUACCCUGCAGCAAAGGUAUUGGAGAAAAGUAAAUCCCAAAUGUCAGUGGACAAUUUUUCUCUAGUUGGAAGACUCCUUUGCAAUCCUAGAAGUAGGUAUGGACAGAGGGCACUGGGAAUGCCAGUAGGUAAGGGAGUGAAUGCUACACAACUUCCAACCCUAUGGGACAGCCUUGGGAUGUUCCAUAUUGUCAUUUCUUUUUCAAGCCAUACAAAGUUCAACUUUAUAGCAAAUGGCAGCACAUAAAUUCAUUUCUGAGUAGUAAAAGUAUUCCCCAUACAGGUGACAAGUCCAUCAUUACCAUCCUAUAGAUUUCAUCACAAGCUCUUGAAAUAUAUACUGAGAAAUGAAAGAGGCACUAAAUGUGUUGAAAUUCACCUUUCAAAAAAGCAGCAUGACUGUGAAGGAA
ensembl:lncRNA novel transcript